rnacentral:pre_miRNA from 1 species
CUGCUACUCCCUCCGUUCGGAAUUACUUGUCUUGGAAAUGGAUGUAUCUAGAUCUAGAUACAUCCAUUUUCGCAACAAGUAAUUCCGAACGGAGGGAGUACCUU